GACGAACGCUGGCGGCGUGCCUAAUACAUGCAAGUCGAACGCAGUGGGGACGGGUGAGUAACACGUGGGUAACCUCCCAUCAGAGGGGAGAACACUUGGAAACAGGUGCUAAACCGAUACAGAUGGAUGGAGCCGCGGUGCAUUAGCUAGUUGGCGAGGUAAAGGCUCACCAAGGCCACGAUGCAUAACGGGCCUGAGAGGAUGAUCGGCCACACUGGGACUGAGACACGGCCCAGACUCCUACGGGAGGCAGCAGUGGGGAAUCUUGGACAAUGGACGAAAGCCUGACCGAGCAACGCCGCGUGUGUGAAGAAGGUUUUCGGAUCGUAAAGCUCUUUUAUUAGAGAAGCGGUAUCUACCCAGAAAGCAACGGCUAACUACGUGCCAGCAGCCGCGGUAAUUC
rnacentral:rRNA from 1 species